AGGAAGUCAGGCUCUAUUUUUUCCCAAGAUUCAGAUAAUUUUUAAACCAAAGUUCGACAAGUUGGGUUCGCUGGCUUAGGUGUAAAAAUGUAACUGAUAAACAGAGUUUGAUUCACA